ACUCUGGAGCGAACGAAACACAUCUGGGAACUCGGACACCAACGGGUCCUCAGGAAGAUCAUUCAGAUCAACAUAAUUUGCCGCACUCCAUAGUGGUAAUUGUGGUCAAAAAUACUUCACAAUCCCGUCUAAGCAACCGAUCCACACGGACUGCUGACACCACUACUUUCCUUAAAGCCGGACUCAGACAUUGGAUCUCGAUACCAACGAGAUCCCAGACAGAUCAACAGAAUUGUCAUGCUCCAUAGUGGUAGUUGUGGUCAAACAACCCUGUCUAAGCAUCCGAUUUACUUGGACUGCUGACACCCCUACUUUUCUUAGAGCCGGACUCA
rnacentral:lncRNA from 1 species